rnacentral:rRNA from 1 species
UGGGGAAUAUUGCACAAUGGGCGCAAGCCUGAUGCAGCCAUGCCGCGUGUGUGAAGAAGGCCUUCGGUUGUAAAGCACUUUCAGCGAGGAGGAAGGUGGUGGACUUAAUACGUUCAUCAAUUGACGUUACUCGCAGAAGAAGCACCGGCUAACUCCGUGCCAGCAGCCGCGGUAAUACGGAGGGUGCAAGCGUUAAUCGGAAUUACUGGGCGUAAAGCGCACGCAGGCGGUUUGUUAAGUCAGAUGUGAAAUCCCCGGGCUCAACCUGGGAACUGCAUUUGAAACUGGCAAGCUAGAGUCUCGUAGAGGGGGUAGAAUUCCAGGUGGUAGCGGUGAAAUGCGUAGAGAUCUGGAGGAAUACCGGUGGCGAAGGCGGCCCCCUGGACGAAGACUGACCGCUCAGGUGCGAAAGCGUGGGGAGCAAACAGAUUAGAUACCCUGGUAGUCACGCUGUAAACGAUGUCGAUUUU